rnacentral:lncRNA from 1 species
CUGUUGACUCAGUGGACACCACAUCAGCUGCUGUUAGCUGGAGCCAGCACACAGGAUUGGACCACACCCAACAUCAUUACAGAUCUCCUAUCGCUCGUUCCAGGGAAAACCACACAUCACGACCACAUCUUCACCAGCAUCACUCUCUGUGACCUGAAACCUGCUACUGAGUACUCGGUCACUGUCUGCACUGUGCUGGAAAAUGGAAAGCAAAGUCAACUGGUGUUAACAACCUUCACCACAGUACUUCCUGCUCCAGACCAGCUGACUGUUGACUCAGUGGACACCACAUCAGCUGAUGUUAGCUGGAUCCAGCCACCAGGAUUGGGCCAAACCCAACAUCAUUACCAGAUCUCCUACCRCUGUCCAGGGACAGAAGUACACAUCACUACCACAUCUUCACMCAGCAUCACUCUCUCUGACCUGCAAUGUGCUACUCAGUACUCUGUCACUGUCUGCACUGUGCUGGAAAAUGGAAAGCAAAGUCAACUGGUGUCCACAACCUUCACCACAAAACAUUUUCAGUGGUGGAAGAGACCCUCCACAGUUGCUGCAGUGUUUGUUCUACUGGCUGUGAUCAUGGGCCUGCGGGAUUCCUAUGCAGCUGCAGAGAGAGACCAGCUACAGACAAUUUACAACACCCUGACUAAAGAGAGAGACCAGCUACAGAAUAGUCUAAAUACAAGGACCACAGAGAGAGACCAGUUACAGAAUAGUCUAAAUACCAGGACCACAGAGAGAGACCAGUUACAGAAUAGUCUAAAUACCAGGACCACAGAGAGAGACCAGCUACAGAAUAGUCUAAAUACCAGGACCACAGAGAGAGACCAGCUACAGAAUAGUCUAAAUACCAGGACCACAGA